UUCUUUUUGUUUAUUUAAAAAGUAUAGUCUGCCCACUGAAAAAUUGAAGGGCCGCGGUAUUUUGACCGUGCUAAGGUAGCAUAAUCAUUAGUUUCUUAAUUAGAAAAUGGAAUGAAUGGCUUGACCUUUAAAUUUUUUAUUAAGUUAAUAAUUUUGAAUUUUAUUUUAAAGUGAAAAUUCUUUAUUAAAUUUAAAAGACGAUAAGACCCUAUAGAGCUUGAUUAAUUAAGUUAAAAAAAUUUUGGGGGAAAAUUUUUUUAACUUAAUUAAUUUGAUUGGGGCAAUCUUAGAAUAAAAGAAACUUCUUAUAAUAAAACUUGAAUUUUAAAUAUAAAAAGUUACCUUAGGGAUAACAGCGUAAUAAUUUUUAAGAGUCCUAAUCGAUAAAAUUGUUUGCGACCUCGAUGUUGAAUUAAAAAAUCUUUUAGGGGCAGAAUUUUAAUUAGACAGUCUGUUCGACUAAUAAAUUUUU
rnacentral:rRNA from 1 species